GAUGAAGAACGUAGCGAAAUGCGAUAAGUAAUGUGAAUUGCAGAAUUCAGUGAAUCAUCGAAUCUUUGAACGCACAUUGCGCCCCCUGGUAUUCCGGGGGGCAUGCCUGUCCGAGCGUCAUUACAACCCUCAAGCUCAGCUUGGUGUUGGGCCCCGCCGCCCCGGCGGGCCCUAAAGUCAGUGGCGGUGCCGUCCGGCUCCGAGCGUAGUAAUUCUUCUCGCUCUGGAGGUCCGGUCGUGUGCUCGCCAGCAACCCCCAAUUUUUUUCCGGUUGACCUCGGAUCAGGUAGGGAUACCCGCUGAACUUAAGCAUAUCAAUAAGCGGAGGA
rnacentral:misc_RNA from 1 species